CAACUUUCAGGUGAGUUUGAAAUUGAAAUGUGUAAAUUGUUUGUGCCAAUUUAAAUUCGAUUUCUUAUUCAUAGGUGC
rfam:Drosophila persimilis strain MSH-3 cont1.000910, whole genome shotgun sequence.